AACGAACGCUGGCGGCAUGCCUAACACAUGCAAGUCGAACGAGAUCUUCGGAUCUAGUGUCGCACGGGUGCGUAACACGUGGGAAUCUGCCCUUGGGUUCGGAAUAACUCUCCGAAAGGAGUGCUAAUACCGGAUGAUGUCGAAAGACCAAAGAUUUAUCGCCCAGGGAUGAGCCCGCGUAGGAUUAGCGAUUUGGUGAGGUAAAGGCUCACCAAGGCUAGGAUCAUUAGCUGGUCUGAGAGGAUGAUCAGCCACACUGGGACUGAGACACGGCCCAGACUCCUACGGGAGGCAGCAGUGGGGAAUAUUGGACAAUGGGCGAAAGCCUGAUCCAGCAAUGCCGCGUGAGUGAUGAAGGCCUUAGGGUUGUAAAGCUCUUUUACCCGGGAUGAUAAUGACAGUACCGGGAGAAUAAGCCCCGGCUAACUCCGUGCCAGCCGCCGCGGUAA
rnacentral:rRNA from 1 species